CAGUAGCCGCGGGAAUACGGAGGGUGCAAGCGUUAAUCGGAAUUACUGGGCGUAAAGCGCACGCAGGCGGUUUGUUAAGUCAGAUGUGAAAUCCCCGAGCUUAACUUGGGAACUGCAUUUGAAACUGGCAAGCUAGAGUCUUGUAGAGGGGGGUAGAAUUCCAGGUGUAGCGGUGAAAUGCGUAGAGAUCUGGAGGAAUACCGGUGGCGAAGGCGGCCCCCUGGACAAAGACUGACGCUCAGGUGCGAAAGCGUGGGGAGCAAACAGGAUUAGAUACCCGGGUAGUCCCUGUCUCUAUACA
rnacentral:rRNA from 1 species